GAGUUUGAUCAUGGCUCAGAUUGAACGCUGGCGGCAUGCCUUACACAUGCAAGUCGAACGGCAGCACGGGAGCUUGCUCCUGGUGGCGAGUGGCGAACGGGUGAGUAAUGCAUCGGAACGUAUCCUGGAGUGGGGGAUAACGUAGCGAAAGUUACGCUAAUACCGCAUAUUCUGUGAGCAGGAAAGCGGGGGACCUUCGGGCCUCGCGCUCUUGGAGCGGCCGAUGUCGGAUUAGCUAGUUGGUGAGGUAAAGGCUCACCAAGGCGACGAUCCGUAGCAGGUCUGAGAGGAUGAUCUGCCACACUGGAACUGAGACACGGUCCAGACUCCUACGGGAGGCAGCAGUGGGGAAUUUUGGACAAGUGGGGGCAACCCUGAUCCAGCCAUGCCGCGUGAGUGAAGAAGGCCU
rnacentral:rRNA from 1 species